GAUGAACGCUGGCGGCGUGCCUAAUACAUGCAAGUCGAGCGGACGGACGAUAAGCUUGCUUCUCUGAUGUUAGCGGCGGACGGGUGAGUAACACGUGGAUACCCUACCUAUCAUACUGGGAUAACUUCGGGAAACCGGCGCUAAUACCGUAUAAUAUUUUGCACCGCAUUGUUCAAAAGUGAAAGACGGUCUUGCUGUCACUUCUCGAUGCAUCCGGGCUGCAUUAUCUAGUUGGUACGGUAACGGCCUACCAAGGCAACGAUGCAUAGCCGACCUGCGAGGGGGGUAGGCGACACGGGAGGGGAGACACGGUCCAGACGCCUACGAGAGGCAGCAGAAGGGAAUCUGCGGCAGUGGGCGGAAGCCUGACGGAGCAACGCCGCGUGAGAGAUGAAGGUCUUCGGAGCGUAAAAAUCUGUUAUUAGGGAAGAACAGAUGUGUAAGGAACUGUGCACAUCGUGACGGUACCUAAUCAGAAAGCCACGGCUAACUACGUG
rnacentral:rRNA from 1 species